GGAACCUAAUCUCUCAACAAUGAGUCCUAAUCAACGCAAUCGCUCUCUCAGUCAACGUCUCAGCCACACCUGGCACAGAAUCGCAAAUUUUUUCAGCCGCCCUCAUAGCCCAAGGCUGUCAACCCGUCGUGCUCGUCAACAGCAGAAUCCUUUUCUCGGGUACAAUUCUCAAACUCCGUCGAUACUUCCAUGGUCAUCCCCUGCCCAUCUAAAUCUUGGACUACCGGCCGAUAUUGCUUCUCGAGAUGUGGCGUCACCUAGAAAUCUGCAAGAUUACAUAGAGACGUCCCAAGAUAAAGCGACUUUCCAAAUUUUGAAGGACACAUGCAAAGAUAUGCGAGAAGACGACAGAAAACUCAGAAAGAAACUGGAUGAUGUGAUCAAAUUUGUUGUCGGUGUUAUACUAUUCCUUUUUAGUAUAAAUGGGGGCGUGGGAUUCUUGUUUACCUCAAAGAUCUUGACGUGCAAGACUAAAUUUUUUGUUGUAUAUUGUGAUCGUUAUAGAUGCAAUUGGAUUCAUUCUUGCUUUAAGUAUUGGCCGGGUGAGAUGUUCUGCACUUUUGGGAGAAUUCGAAUUUGUAGACAAAAGCAGGCUUAUCUUGUUGGCUGAAUUGCCUUAGUCAAAUACAAGAAUUUUGGGGCUGACUCCAUUUUCCGAUCUAUGGUGUCUACAAUUGCUAGCUGCAUAGUGGCCAUUCAAAUGAUAUGUUAGUAGGUCGCCGGUCAUGACAUUCAUCUUGGAUAGACAGUUGCUGAAGAAGACUUCGGAUGACAUUGCUAUUCCCUAAUAAUUUUGGUUUUAAUUUUGUUUGGACAGCUUAGGUUAUUAGAUAGAGUCUAAGUAGGGAUACUCCAUUGAAUUGAAGGCACUUGUUUAGUAGGACGCCUGCUAUUGUUCAUUUCUGUUUUCUCAGCUUUAUUGAAUUGAAGUGAUGUUUCUUCGUACUAUACUGUAAAUUGAAUUGAAUGGAUACAUCAGUUUGCUUUCAUCCGUAUUGUUUCCGA